rnacentral:rRNA from 1 species
UACGGGGGGAGCAAGCGUUGUUCGGAUUUACUGGGCGUAAAGGGCGCGUAGGCGGUCAGCACAGGUCAGUUGUGAAAUCUCCGGGCUUAACUCGGAAAGGUCAACUGAUACUGUGCGACUAGAGUGCGGAAGGGGCAACUGGAAUUCUCGGUGUAGCGGUGAAAUGCGUAGAUAUCGAGAGGAACACCUGCGGCGAAGGCGGGUUGCUGGGCCGACACUGACGCUGAUGCGCGAAAGUCAGGGGAGCGAACGGG